rnacentral:rRNA from 1 species
UACGGAGGGUGCAAGCGUUAUCCGGAUUCACUGGGUUUAAAGGGUGCGUAGGCGGGCUUGUAAGUCAGUGGUGAAAGCCCGGGGCUUAACUCCGGAACUGCCGUUGAUACUGCAAGUCUUGAGUGACUUGAGGUGGGCGGAAUACAUCAUGUAGUGGUGAAAUACUUAGAUAUGAUGUAGAACACCGAUUGCGAAGGCAGCUCACUAAAUUGCAACUGACGCUGAGGCACGAAAGCG